rnacentral:pre_miRNA from 1 species
UCUUCAUUCCUCGUACUCUCUCACCGGUCAGAGUGACGAGACAGCACGCGAAAUAAAGAGA